rnacentral:misc_RNA from 1 species
ACGACGUCGCCGCAUCCCUUUAACUUUUGUGUGCCCUUAGUUUUGUCCUUGGAUUUUGCAGCUGGAUGAACAUGGCAGCUGGUGCACCUGGGUCUACCGCACUUGCCGGUGAACUUGGAAUGGUUACUGGGCUUAGUUGGGACCUUUGCGAAAAGCCCAGCGGUUGGUGGUGAAUUGGACUUGUUCAUGUACCUGGGCUCGGGUCUUGGGUUCCAUGGAGAGGGUAAAAUUGGGUAAGUACGGACCAUACCGUGUUGGCG